UUUGCAGAGAUGAUCUUUAUUAUUUAAUCAAACUUUUGAACGGUUAAUAUUAUGAUUUAUAUUGCCGAAAGUAUGUAAAUAAGAAAUAAUCCGGACACACAUCUACAUACUAGUCCGGACGUAGAUCUUUUCUCACAAGGUAUUACAUAUCAUUUGCGUAUGAUAUUGUGAGGGUCCUUUUUGAAUUAAACAAUGACUAGGCCAAAUUCAACCCAAUAAUUCGAUUAAUGGGAGAAAUUCGUCCGUGAUUCAGACAACAUGGAAAUCAAAAGGAGCUUGGCAGCAUGAAGAAUGGUGUGAGAGCUAGAAACACACUGCAGUGAGAGAAUUGGGGUUUUUUGGAUCUGGGAUUUCUGAUAAAAUAGAAAUUGAAGGUAGUUUUUCUAGGAUGGUGAUUAAGGGCUGGAUUUGGUGCUUGGAUGCUUGAAGGCUUAGGGAAGGUUGUUUAUGGGUUUUGCUUGAUCAUGCUUGAUGAUCUUUUCUACUGCAUAGACUCACCUUUUAUAGGCUCAAUGGAUAAGGUUUUGAUGAACAAAAACAUAUGAAUAUCUAGGUAAAACAAAGUAGUCUUCUGGAUACAUGAUUUAUUCCUUAAAACUUGGGAAAGAGAAGCUUGCCUCGCAAAAAGAGAGAAUCGACUCACUGCAGGGACGGCUGUAGGCACAAAACACCAAGAACGAGGUUGUCGAACUAAUUUGAAGCCCACGAUUUCGUCAUUCGAGGAUGAAGGAGUUGCUUUAGAAUUAGGUGCACAUUCUCUUCUUCCUUGGCUUAGAAUUAAAAGAGACUUUUCUAUUGAAUAAAAUUGUGAAUCAUGAAUUUGACACUAUUGCGGGGAAGCAGGUUAAAGAAGUUUCAUGAGAAGGAAGAAGGUGGGAAAUUUGACUUAUUAUGCAAAAGAGAUGGGUUUGGGUCUUUAAAAGGAGUUGGGCUUUGGGUAUCAAAAGCAUUUUGGGUCUUGGGAAUGGGUAGUCCAAUUCUCUUGUUUUCACCGAUUCGUCAUCGAUUUAAGCCGUUGGGCUUGAGUUUCGGACCUAAGACCGAAACUAUUAACGACAUUAAACUGAUGGACGAGCAUCAUGUGUCUCCGUGACCUUUCACACCACACUCACUUCUACAAGCCCCAAAGAUGCGUGGAUGUGGCUUUGACCCACAUCAAUGGGUAUGUUUGCUUGAUGAGUUAUAAUCAAGGAUUUAACCCAAGAUUAUGGAUUUUUUCACGAAUUGCGUAACAAAUUGUAACGUGGCAAAGUGCAUGAUUUUUUGGGUAUCAACAGAUAUAUGACCACAUUUGCAACUAAUUAAUUUGGAGAAUAUAUUUAUUAGAUAUCAAAACUAUCAUGUUUGAUCCAUCAAUUGCAACUUUCAACCUCGAUCUCGUAUGAUUGAGUUUCCAUGUAACAACCUUAGAGUUCCUUCCUUGCCAAUUGAGUUUCUCCUAAUUUUCUUCUCCCCAUAUGUUAUCGAUUUCUCAAAUUCAACUCCAAAGUCCAAAAUUCCAUUCUUGCGGCAAAUUUAGGUAGAGCAGGGCCACGGGGUUUGGUCUGGUUAGGUUAGAAGAACAUGGAAGCGAUGCAUAUAGGUCACUCUCACUCUCACUCACAUAUCAUAAAUCAAUGUGCUAUUGCAUAGUCCAAAACAGAAAAUUGAUAGUUUAAUAUCUAAAGUCUAAAAUAGUAUCACAGCAAUUUUGCUCCCACCUCGAAUGCCAAAAAUCCCAAGUGCAGUUCCGUCUGGAUCUCCUUCACCAGAACAACAAAAUCUUUC
rnacentral:lncRNA from 1 species